rnacentral:tRNA from 1 species
UGCAUCGGCCGGGAAACGAGCUCGCGUGGCAGGCGAGCAUUCUACCACUGAACCACCGAUAC